rnacentral:rRNA from 1 species
UACGUAGGGUCCGAGCGUUUGUCCGGAAUUACUGGGCGUAAAGAGCUCGUAGGUGGUUUGUCGCGUUGUUCGUGAAAACUCACAGCUUAACUGUGGGCGUGCGGGCGAUACGGGCAGACUGGAGUACUGCAGGGGAGACUGGAAUUCCUGGUGUAGCGGUGGAAUGCGCAGAUAUCAGGAGGAACACCGGUGGCGAAGGCGGGUCUCUGGGCAGUAACUGACGCUGAGGAGCGAAAGCGUGGGGGAGCGAAACAGG